ACAAAAUUGCUAUUUCCGGUUAUUAUUUGGGUAACACGGCAGAAGACCGUAGAACGUUCGAGGAUCACGAUUGGAGAUUCCAUUGAGAAGUUAUGGAACAGAAGGCUCACAUGAUUGAAGAGAUAUGUUCACGCUUCAAAAAGUAACCCGUGGAAUCUCAUUUAUGUUAGUUGCCUAGAUUACAUGUGAUUUUGAUACUGGGAUUGCUUGUACUGCUUAUCGUAAUCCAUCAGUUGUAGCAUCUCCAGCAGCAGCGUUGACUCCACCACUGAGUCACGUCGCAGACAGGUAAAUCUUAUACUAGCUAGUCGCUGAUUUCGUUAUUUAUAUUUCUGUUUUCGUCAACAAUAACAAUAAUAAAAUUGGCAUAUAACGAUAUUUUGCUUGUUCAUGUGUUAAACGUUAUCUUGACUGUACUUCGGUUAUUACUAAUAUGUAGGUGAUGUUGUUUUCAUUUUUUUUGGUAAAACGAAAAAUUUUAUUCAUCUUUAAACCAGAACAAAUAAGAAUAUAAGAGAUAUCUAUAGAUCAUAUAUCUAUCCUGCUUCCUUUAUAUUGCAGCUAUACAUAUCCGUUCUAUCUAUCUAUAUAUAUUUUCUAUCCAUCGGCCAUCUAUCCCUUUCUUCCUCUUGUUUAAGAUAUCUGCCAUUCGAAUCUUGUACUCUUCCUUGAUUUGCUCACAAACUUUGUGAGGUCUAGGCACUGAAUUUCUCCAUCCAGUUUCAUUUCUACCUUUCCAUAUAUAGUAGUUAGUUGGUGCUAAUGCUGCAUAUGCAAAUUCUCUGCUCGGUUUUCCAUCCAACUUCCUUAUCGCUCUUCUCUAUAGCAGUAGCCCCUCCAGAUUUGUAGUUUUGACUUUCAACCACUCCAAAAUUAUGGCCAUGCAUCUCCUUGAAAAGAUGUUGUUUUCCAAAGAUGGCGAUAUUUAACUUGUAGAGAUAUUAAAAUUUACCUUGGUCAUUAAUUUGGUUAUUAGAUUUCUUAUUGUUAAUACGGAAAAAAACAGUGUUUUAGACUCAUCUAAUGGUCAAACGUCGGAAACAUAUAUCAUUUCAAAAUCACUUAAAUUGACUACAAAAUAAAUGUAUUACGAGUUCUAUUUCUAAAACAUUUUUGUGAUAUUAAGCUUAUAAACACGAAUAUACAAAUCAUAUUUUACUUGGACAAAUCCUUAAGAAUACAUUUUUCUUCCUUCAUAAAGUCAAGUCUUUUUGACGUCAAUGGUCUCAUCUGCAAAGAAAAUGGUCGGUGGAUAUUAUCUUAUGUGCAUUUUUUUCUUUCUUUCUAAUUUCUGUUAUACAAACAUCAACAGGCGAUUUUCCAGAUGAUGUCACAACAUGCACUUAUGUUUCGACUUGCAAGACGAGCCUGGUUCGUUCUCUCAGACACACACACAUUUAAUUUAUUUGUUAGUACAUAAAAUUGUGCACAAAAAAUAUGAGAGCAUUGAUUAUGAAAUCUACAGUUUAGAUGCCUAAAAGACUAAUAUAAUAUUCUACUACGUAUUUCUUUUGCCAUGUUUAAUUAUAUAUCACGUAUUUGUUGAGUUGUCCCACAUCGGAGGGAUUUGAGGUCCUUGGUCUCCUUAUAUGGCUUGGGCAAUCCUCACCUCAUAAGCUAACUUUUGGGGUUGAGUUACGCCCAAGGUCCAUUCUUUCGGUAUUUGUACCAAGUCUGAUACAAAUUAAUGACAUGUUCUAUAUUUUCUUUUAUCAUGUCCCAACUUACAUGUUCUAUAUUUUCUUUUAUCAUGUCCCAACUUACAUGUAUCAUAAUUCAACUCCAGGCUUGAGGUAACUAUUAUACUUCCAGAAAUUUUUUCUAUUAAUAUGUUAAACAAUAAUUAUCAACUGUAUUAACUUUGCAUAUUUGUCAUAUAAUUAUAUCUUUUCCUUUUCCUCUCUAACAGUCGAUGCAAAGAGAGGUGAAUCAAAUUAAGGGGGAGCUGCUUCGCGCAGAAUGGAUGCUUGGGUUGAAUCUCAUUGUUUUCAUUUCUUGAUAAUAAUAACUUUCUUAAUUUAUUAUUAAAGAUCAUUUAUUAUCAAACAUAAUUUGUUAAUUUCUCAAUAAUUAUAGUUUUAUUUUAUUUCCAGUGUCAAGAAACGUUGCACAUGCAAGUGCCACCUUAAGAGCUACUUCGGCAACGCAAAGAGAAUCCCAUGACGAUGUAGAGAGAGGAUAAUAAAUAAAAAUUCUCGACAGAUUCGAGAGUUUAAUUACUUGUUUUUAUUUUCAGAAAAUAAAUUUGGCUGUAAAGUUGGUUGUUAUCCAAUUUGCAUGCGUAGCAACUCUCCCUUGUGAACUUUAUUCUAAUUGGAGCGCUGGUUUGUGGUAUUGAUAUGCUUGUUUUAAUAUUUUAUGUUUUUGAAGGCAUUUCAGUAUUCAAUGUUAGAAG
rnacentral:lncRNA from 1 species